AACGAACGCUGGCGGCAGGCCUAACACAUGCAAGUCGAGCGAGGACUUCGGUCCUAGCGGCGGACGGGUGAGUAACGCGUGGGAACGUGCCCUUUGCUACGGAAUAGCCCCGGGACAGUGGGAGUAAUACCGUAUGUGCCCUUCGGGGGAAAGAUUUAUCGGCAAAGGAACGGCCCGCGUUGAAUUAGGUAGUUGGUGGGGUAAUGGCCUACCAAGCCGACGAUCCAUAGCUGGUUUGAGAGGAUGAUCGGCCACACUGGGACUGAGACACGGCCCAGACUCCUACGGGAGGCAGCAGUGGGGAAUCUUAGACAAUGGGGGAAACCCUGAUCUAGCCAUGCCGCGUGAGCGAUGAAGGCCUUAGGGUUGUAAAGCUCUUUCAGUGGGGAAGAUAAUGACGGUACCCACAGAAGAAGCCCCGGCUAACUCCGUGCCAGCAGCCGCCGUAACAC
rnacentral:rRNA from 1 species